rnacentral:rRNA from 1 species
CGGCAGGCCUAACACAUGCAAGUCGAACGGUAACAUAGAUUGCUUGCAAUCUGAUGACGAGUGGCGCACGGGUGCGUAACGCGUAUGCAAUCUACCUUUUACAGGAGAAUAGCCCAGAGAAAUUUGGAAUAAUGCUCCAUAAUAUCAUUUAUCAGCAUUGGUUUAUGAUUAAAGCUCCGGCGGUAAAAGAUGAGCAUGCGUUCUAUUAGCUAGUAGGUGAGGUAACGGCUCACCUAGGCUACGAUAGAUAGGGGCCCUGAGAGGGGGAUCCCCCACACUGGUACUGAGACACGGACCAGACUCCUACGGGAGGCAGCAGUGAGGAAUAUUGGACAAUGGAGGAAACUCUGAUCCAGCCAUGCCGCGUGCAGGAUGACUGCCCUAUGGGUUGUAAACUGCUUUUAUAUAGGAAGAAACACUCCCACGUGUGGGGGCUUGACGGUACUAUAUAAUAAGGAUCGGCUAAC